AAUUGAAAUUAUAUAAAAUCUAAUCAAACUUAAUUUAUAAAAAUUGCUUUGGAUCUAAUUCAUUUCAGAUUCAAGUGGGUUUGGUUUUAUAUUAUUAUGAGUUCGGAUUGUUAACUUUUUAUAAAAAUUGAGGUUUGAGGAGGUUGAAUUUUGGAUAACAUUUUUGAUGCAAACAAAAUAUUAUAACUGCAAUUAAGGUACAUCUUUGCUUUUCAAAAAGAAAGAAAAACAUUUACAUCUUUGAUGACCUUCUGCCAAACUUAAAACUCAAAGACUCUGAAAAAAGAAAGCAUCUAAAAGUCCCUAAAAUUGUUCUCAGUUAUAGAUUUCACAUUGAACAAAUUCAAAAAAAAAAAAAAAAAAAAGAAAAGAAAGAAAAACAGAGAGAAUCUCCACCCUAAAGGAUGACAGUAAAGAACUCAAAAUGGAAUCAAAGAGAGUAAUUCAUAUUUCAUAGCAGCAGCUACAGCUACAGUAGUACUCUCGCCUAGAAACCAACAACUGAGGCCAAUUACAAAAGAGCAACUUGGCCAUGUGAUGCAAGUAAACACCGAUGCUUCCCGUAUUCCAGAGUUGAAUUACAAAGAAUAUUUUACAUUUUCUCUUAUUACUGCUGAAAGGACACAGUCGGAUAUAUUUUAGUAUAAAUAUGAUGCCUUAGAUGGAGAGGCUUCUCACCCCUUCCCUUGUUUUACAUUCUUGAGUUUGUAGAGGCAGAACAGCGAGUGAGAGAAAAAUGGUGAGGAAAGAAAAGUUGUUUAUUGCUUUGACAUGGUUCCUAGUAGUGAUGUCCGUUGCCAUAUGUGCUAAUGCAACAGCAGGCCCUCGUCUGCAGGCAUCCGAUGAGCACAUGGAACUGCCAGCAGGUUGCCGCUGCUGCUAUUUCAUCGGACAGAUUCCAUACAUGCGGUGUGGGAUGGUAUGCUGUCAGGAUGGCUGUUGCGGCUAAUCAAUGGAGUUUUUGUCAUGCUACUAGGCAGAAUAAAGUUCGGGUUGCUGAUGAAAUAAUAUGAGAAAUAUUUGAAUUGUCAGGAGCUCGUUUUUAUGAUUCUUUAGCUUUUACUUAGAUAAGAAGGUUUCUUUAUCAGUUGUACUUUAGUAUUGUAAUCAAUAAUAUUGCAAUUACCUUAAUGGAUA